UACGAACCGUGCGAACGUUAUUCGGAAUCACUGGGCUUAAAGGGUCCGCAGGCGGAUUGGCAAGUAUCUUGUGAAAUACCACGGCUCAACCGUGGAACUGCUGGGUAAACUGCCAAUCUUGAACACGACAGGGGCUACCAGAACUCUAGGUGGAGCGGUGAAAUGCGUAGAUAUCUAGAGGAAUGCCAGAGGCGAAGGCGGGUAGCUGGGUCGUUGUUGACGCUCAGGGACGAAAGCGUGGGUAGCGAACGGGAUUAGAUACCCCGGUAGUCC
rnacentral:rRNA from 1 species